GCCCGCAUAGCUCAGUCGGUAGAGCAUCAGACUUUUAAUCUGAGGGUCGCGGGUUCAAGUCUCUCCGCGGGCG
rnacentral:tRNA from 1 species